ensembl:lncRNA
CCCUUUUUAACAUGCAUAAUCAGAAUUGUGCACAUAGCAGCUCUGUACUGCAUCAAUUCUCAAAAGAUUUUUUUUUUUUUUCUUGUCCCCGGGAACAAGUUGUAUUUCCAAUUUCUGGCAUAACUCAUCUGCCUCCAACAAUAGAACUGACAACCGGCCAGUCACAGAAGAGCGAUGUGGUCACAUGAUGGACAGAGUUGUAUGAAGUGUGCUUUUUGGAUGAGUGGGUGAGAUGACUGAACGUGUGUCUGUCUGGAUGUGAAAGAAUUUGACCUGAGCUUGCUGCUAAUCCUUUCUCUUCCUCUGGAACAUGCGGGAGGUAAUUCAAAUCCAAGAUGUGUGGCGAAGAGGUGGCUGAGGAGACGCUACGUGGAAGAAUCUCCAGUGUACGAUCAAGAGGGAGACAAAGUGAUGUAAGGGACAUACAAUAUGGCACAACUAUUUGUAAUCAUGUCUUUUUUUUUUUUUUUUU